rnacentral:rRNA from 1 species
UCUUACUAGCCAUAUCACCCUGCAGCCCAAGACUGGUUGCCCACUGAAGCUAAGCAGGGUUGAGCCUGGUCAGUACCUGGAUGGGAGACCUCCUGGGAAAACUAGGUUGCUGUUGGAA